rnacentral:lncRNA from 1 species
UUCAAAUUUCUUUAGUGCUUCGUUUCCAAAAAGUCUCUGCUAUAAAACUGUGAAGUAGUCAUUCAGAGAUCAACUUUGGGACCUAAACUGUUCUGAGGAAGAAACAGAAGUCGUGUUAGAAAUAAAUACUAGCCAGCAUUCAGGAUCGAUUCCAAAAUUGUCCUGGUUUUCAGUGGAAAUCAUGUACUAGUUCUGAGGCUUCCUUCCGGAUAGUUCAAAAGAUUGGAAGUUUGUUAAUGGUUACCAUAUCUUCAGUAUGUAAUAAGGAAGAACAAUGUCAUAUGAGAUACGUCAAACGACACUUACACUGAAGUGUCACUGGCUGGUGUGAACUGCACCGUAAGAAUCUUAUUACAGCUUGGCUAAAGUUAGGAAUGUGUUAAAAGUGGUCUCAUACCACUCUUACAUUAUUAUUUUCUCUAAAUUAUGGUAAGACUAAUGUUCCCCACAACACUGGGAUUAAUUUAUUAGGUGAGUUUGCUUUUCUUCUAUAAACAAGAAGAAAGAAAAUUUGAGAAAGCUUUCAACUUCCUGAGGCAGAAGUUGAUAUUUCCACGUACAUAUAUUCCCUCAUGAUAACAUUCAGUUUCAUACUAACCCAGCAGCCAGAAUAAAACAUAUUAGAACAAACUGUGGUCUCA